rnacentral:rRNA from 1 species
AAGAUUAAGCCAUGCAUGUGUAAGCACGUGCCUUAAAAUGGUAAAGCCGCGAAUGGCUCGGUAUAACAGCCUCCGUUUAUUAGACCUUAGUUAUCUACUUGGAUAACUGUGGCAAUUCUAGAGCUAAUACAUGCACGCAAGCUCGGACCUUAUGGGAAGAGCGCAUUUAUUAGACCAAAACCAAUCAAGCUUCGGCUUGUUUGUUGGUGACUCUGAAUAACUUAGUUGAUCGCACAGUCUUAGUACUGGCGACGUAUCUUUCGAAUGUCUGCCUUAUCAACUUUCGAUGGUAGGUUAUACGCCUACCAUGGUUAUAACGGGUAACGGAGAAUAAGGGUUCGACUCCGGAGAGGGAGCCUGAGAAACGGCUACCACAUCCAAGGAAGGCAGCAGGCGCGCAAAUUACCCAAUCCCAGAACGGGGAGGUAGUGACGAAAAAUAACAAAACAGUCCACUUUGUGGCCUGUUAUCGGAAUGGGUACAAUUUAAAUCUUU